GAUGAACGCUGGCGGCGUGCCUAAUACAUGCAAGUCGAGCGAACGGACGAGAAGCUUGCUUCUCUGAUGUUAGCGGCGGACGGGUGAGUAACACGUGGAUAACCUACCUAUAAGACUGGGAUAACUUCGGGAAACCGGAGCUAAUACCGGAUAAUAUUUUGAACCGCAUGGUUCAAAAGUGAAAGACGGUCUUGCUGUCACUUAUAGAUGGAUCCGCGCUGCAUUAGCUAGUUGGUAAGGUAACGGCUUACCAAGGCAACGAUGCAUAGCCGACCUGAGAGGGUGAUCGGCCACACUGGAACUGAGACACGGUCCAGACUCCUACGGGAGGCAGCAGUAGGGAAUCUUCCGCAAUGGGCGAAAGCCUGACGGAGCAACGCCGCGUGAGUGAUGAAGGUCUUCGGAUCGUAAAGCUCUGUUAUUAGGGAAGAACAUAUGUGUAAGUAACUGUGCACAUCUUGACGGCACCUAAUCAGGAAGCCACGGCUAACUACGUG
rnacentral:rRNA from 1 species